GUAGUUAGCCGGGGCUUUCUUACAGGGUACCGUCACUUCUUCGUCCCCUGCGACAGAGGUUUACAAUCCGAAAACCUUCUUCCCUCACGCGGCGUUGCUGGGUCAGGCUUGCGCCCAUUGCCCAAUAUUCCCCACUGCUGCCUCCCGUAGGAGUCUGGACCGUGUCUCAGUUCCAGUGUGGCCGAUCAGCCUCUCAGCUCGGCUACCCAUCGUCGGCUUGGUGGGCUGUUAUCUCACCAACUACCUAAUGGGACGCGAACCCCUCUAAAAGCGAUAAAUCUUUGACCUCUUCCCGAUGCCGGGUUGUGGUCUUAUGCGGUAUUAGCAGUUGUUUCCACCUGUUAUUCCCCACUCUUAGGCAGGUUGUUCACGCGUUACUCACCCGUGCGCCACUAGAAUUAUCAAUUCCAUCCGAAAACUUCCUUAAUAAUCCCCGUUCGACUUGCAUGUGUUAGGCACGCCGCCAGCGUCGUCCUGAGCCACGGAUCAAACUACUGA
rnacentral:rRNA from 1 species